rnacentral:rRNA from 1 species
UUCCCUUAGUAACUGCGAGUGAAGAGGGAAAAGCUCAAAUUUAAAAUCUGGCAGUAUUUUGCUGUCCGAGUUGUAACCUAGAGAAGUGUAACCUGUGCUGGACCGUGUAUAAGUUUCCUGGAAUGGAGCAUCACAGAGGGUGAGAAUCCCGUCUUUGACAUGGACUACCAGUGCAUUGUGGUUGUGCUCUCAACGAGUCGAGUUGUUUGGGAAUGCAGCUCUAAAUGGGUGGUAAAUUCCAUCUAAAGCUAAAUAUUGGCGAGAGACCGAUAGCGAACAAGUACCGUGAGGGAAAGAUGAAAAGAACUUUGGAAAGAGAGUUAAACAGUAUGUGAAAUUGUUGAAAGGGAAACGUUUGAAGUCAGUCGCGUUAGCUGGGGAUCAGCCUGACAUUGUUGGGUGCACUUCCUGGUUGACGGGCCAACAUCAGUUUUGACUGCCAGAAAAAGGCCAAGGGAAUGUGGCACCUUUGGGUGUGUUAUAGCCUUUGGUCAUAUAUGGUGGUUGGGACUGAGGAAUGCAGUGUGCCGAAAGGCCGGGUUUCGACCACGUUCACACUGAGGAUGUUGGCAUAAUGGCUUUAAGCGACCCGUCUUGAAACACGGACCAAGGAGUCUAACAUGCAUGCGAGUGUUUGGGUGGAAAACCCUUACGCGUAAUGAAAGUGAAAGUUGAGAUCCCUGUCGUGGGGAGCAUCGACGCCCGGACCAGAACUUUUGGGACGGAUCUGCGGUAGAGCACGUAUGUUGGGACCCGAAAGAUGGUGAACUAUGCCUGAAUAGGGUGAAGCCAGAGGAAACUCUGGUGGAGGCUCGUAGCGAUUCUGACGUGCAAAUCGAUCGUCAAAUUUGGGUAUAGGGGCGAAA